CAGGAUGUUCUAAGACGUCGACUAUCUGAAGAGCUUGUUGAUGUAUAACGUUCGUUUUUAAUGACUUUAAAGGGCACCCAUAUUCUGAGGCACUGGGCAUUUUCAGAGUUUGGUUUGCAACAAAGAAUAAAAAGGAGUCUUUAUGCUGAAGUCAAUUAAACAAAAGGGGGAAAAAUGAAAAUGAAGGACAGAAACAGAGAAUCCUCAAU
rnacentral:lncRNA from 1 species